UACGGGGGGGGCAAGCGUUGUUCGGAAUUACUGGGCGUAAGGGGCUCGUAGGCGGCCAACUAAGUCCGACGUGAAAUCCCCAGGCUUAACCUGGGAACUGCGUCGGAUACUGGAUGGCUUGAAUCCGGGAGAGGGAUGCGGAAUUCCAGGUGUAGCGGUGAAAUGCGUAGAUAUCUGGAGGAACACCGGUGGCGAAGGCGGCAUCCUGGACCGGCAUUGACGCUGAGGAGCGAAAGCCAGGGGAGCAAACGGG
rnacentral:rRNA from 1 species